CCUACGGGUGGCUGCAGUGGGGAAUAUUGCACAAUGGGGGAAACCCUGAUGCAGCAACGCCGCGUGAGUGAAGAAGGUUUUCGGAUUGUAAAGCUCUAUCAGCAGGGAAGAAAAUGACGGUACCUGACUAAGAAGCCCCGGCUAACUACGUGCCAGCCGCCGCGGUAAUACGUAGGGGGCAAGCGUUAUCCGGAUUUACUGGGUGUAAAGGGAGCGUAGACGGCGGUGCAAGCCAGAUGUGAAAGCCCGGGGCUCAACCCCGGGACUGCAUUUGGAACUGUGCUGCUAGAGUGUCGGAGAGGCAGGCGGAAUUCCUAGUGUAGCGGUGAAAUGCGUAGAUAUUAGGAGGAACACCAGUGGCGAAGGCGGCCUGCUGGACGAUGACUGACGUUGAGGCUCGAAAGCGUGGGGAGCAAACAGGAUUAGAUACCCGAGUAGUC
rnacentral:rRNA from 1 species